rnacentral:rRNA from 1 species
AGUGGCGGACGGGUGAGUAACGCGUGAGAAUCUGCCUUGGGGUCGGGGACAACCACUGGAAACGGUGGCUAAUACCGGAUAAGCCGAUUGGUGAAAGAUUUAUUGCCCGAAGAGGAGCUCGCGUCUGAUUAGCUAGUUGGUGAGGUAAGAGCUCACCAAGGCAGCGAUCAGUAGCUGGUCUGAGAGGACGAUCAGCCACACUGGGACUGAGACACGGCCCAGACUCCUACGGGAGGCAGCAGUGGGGAAUUUUCCGCAAUGGGCGAAAGCCUGACGGAGCAAGACCGCGUGAGGGAGGAAGGCUCUUGGGUUGUAAACCUCUUUUCUCAGGGAAGAAGCUCUGACGGUACCUGAGGAAUCAGCCUCGGCUAACUCCGUGCCAGCAGCCGCGGUAAUACGGAGGAGGCAAGCGUUAUCCGGAAUUAUUGGGCGUAAAGCGUCCGCAGGUGGCGAUUCAAGUCUGCUGUCAAAGCACGGGGCUUAACUCCGUAAAGGCAGUGGAAACUGAAUAGCUAGAGUGCCGUAGGGGUAGAGGGAAUUCCCGGUGUAGCGGUGAAAUGCUUAGAGAUCGGGAAGAACAUCGGUGGCGAAAGCGCUCUACUGGACGGCAACUGACACUCAGGGACGAAAGCUAGGGGAGCGAAUGGGAUUAGAUACCCC